rnacentral:rRNA from 1 species
UACGUAGGGUGCGAGCGUUAAUCGGAAUUACUGGGCGUAAAGCGUGCGCAGGCGGUUUGGCAAGUCAGAUGUGAAAUCUCCGGGCUUAACCUGGGAACUGCAUUUGUGACUGCACGGCUAGAGUGUGUCAGAGGGGGGUAGAAUUCCACGUGUAGCAGUGAAAUGCGUAGAUAUGUGGAGGAAUACCGAUGGCGAAGGCAGCCCCCUGGGAUAACACUGACGCUCAUGCACGAAAGCGUGGGGAGCAAACAGG